AGAGUUUGAUCCUGGCUCAGGACGAACGCUGGCGGCGUGCCUAAUACAUGCAAGUAGAACGCUGAAGUCUGGUGCUUGCACUAGACGGAUGAGUUGCGAACGGGUGAGUAACGCGUAGGUAACCUGCCUCAUAGCGGGGGAUAACUAUUGGAAACGAUAGCUAAUACCGCAUAACAGUAUUUACCGCAUGGUAGAUGCUUAAAAGGAGCAAUUGCUUCACUAUGAGAUGGACCUGCGUUGUAUUAGCUAGUUGGUGAGGUAACGGCUCACCAAGGCAUCGAUACAUAGCCGACCUGAGAGGGUGAUCGGCCACACUGGGACUGAGACACGGCCCAGACUCCUACGGGAGGCAGCAGUAGGGAAUCUUCGGCAAUGGGGGCAACCCUGACCGAGCAACGCCGCGUGAGUGAAGAAGGUUUUCGGAUCGUAAAGCUCUGUUGUAAGAGAAGAACUGUGAGAAGAGUGGAAAGUUUCUCACUUGACGGUAUCUUACCAGAAAGGGACGGCUAACUACGUGCCAGCAGCCGCGGUAAUACGUAGGUCCCGAGCGUUGUCCGGAUUUAUUGGGCGUAAAGCGAGCGCAGGCGGUUUGAUAAGUCUGAAGUAAAAGGCUGUGGCUUAACCAUAAUACGCUUUGGAAACUGUCAAACUUGAGUGCAGAAGGGGAGAGUGGAAUUCCAUGUGUAGCGGUGAAAUGCGUAGAUAUAUGGAGGAACACCGGUGGCGAAAGCGGCUCUCUGGUCUGUAACUGACGCUGAGGCUCGAAAGCGUGGGGAGCGAACAGGAUUAGAUACCCUGGUAGUCCACGCCGUAAACGAUGAGUGCUAGGUGUUGGGUCCUUUCCGGGACUCAGUGCCGCAGCU
rnacentral:rRNA from 1 species